GACAGAGGGUGCAAACGUUGUUCGGAAUUACUGGGCGUAAAGCGCGUGUAGGCUGCUCCGCAAGUCGGAUGUGAAGGCCCUGGGCUCAACCUAGGAAGUGCAUUCGAUACUGCGGAGCUGGAGUCCUGGAGAGGAAGGCGGAAUUCUCGGUGUAGAGGUGAAAUUCGUAGAUAUCGAGAGGAACACCGGUGGCGAAGGCGGCCUUCUGGACAGUGACUGACGCUGAGACGCGAAAGCGUGGGGAGCAAACAGG
rnacentral:rRNA from 1 species